rnacentral:tRNA from 1 species
UUAGUAGAAACCAAAGAAGAGGUAUCUUAUUGUUAAUAAGAAAAAUGAAUUUUUAUUCCUAUUAAA